rnacentral:rRNA from 1 species
GACGAACGCUGGCGGCGUGCCUAAUACAUGCAAGUCGAGCGGAGUUAUUCCUUCGGGGAUAACUUAGCGGCGGACGGGUGAGUAACACGUAGGCAACCUGCCUGUAAGACUGGGAUAACUACCGGAAACGGUAGCUAAGACCGGAUACACAACUUGAUCGCAUGACCGAGUUGGGAAAAGCGGAGCAAUCUGCUACUUACAGAUGGGCCUGCGGCGUAUUAGCUAGUUGGUGGGGUAACGGCUCACCAAGGCGACGAUGCGUAGCCGACCUGAGAGGGUGAACGGCCACACUGGGACUGAGACACGGCCCAGACUCCUACGGGAGGCAGCAGUAGGGAAUCUUCCGCAAUGGACGCAAGUCUGACGGAGCAACGCCGCGUGAGUGAUGAAGGUUUUCGGAUCGUAAAGCUCUGUUGCCAGGGAAGAACGCUUGGGAGAGUAACUGCUCUCAAGGUGACGGUACCUGAGAAGAAAGCCCCGGCUAACUACGUGCCAGCAGCCGCAGUAAGAC